CUUCCUCUGUCUCUCUCGCCCUGGGUUCCGUGCCCCUGGAUCACCAGCUGCCAUGUCCUGAGGACACUUGGGCAGCCUGUGGGGAGAUCUACAUGACAAAGAAACAAGACCUGCCAGCAACCACGUAUAGAAGAUGGUUACAAUUGCACAGAGAUUGACGGUGGAAAGCCAGACAAAGGAGACUGAAGGCCUAAACUAAGGCAGUGGCGGGUGGUGAGCUGGACAGAAACUCACCUGAUGCUGAAUGGGAGGACUUACAAAUGAGGUUCUGCAUCAUUUGGACCAUGGGCACUUGGUGGGUGAUGAACCCCUUCACCUCAGAGCACGGCCAGCAGGCAGCGCGAGCUUGAUGUCAGCAAUCAGCCGAUGUUAAGGGAAAGACUGAAUUCUGCACAGAGAGAAGAUUUAGAGCUGGGAUGGCACAUGAAGAUUUGAUGAAGACUAGAGUUGACUAUGCCACAUGGGAAAUUAUUCGUGUGUAAAAGUGAGAUGCAAAUAUGGGUGAUGUUACAAUUGUAUUCAGAAUAAUUUCUUGUUAGUGCAGUCGAGUUGAUUCUAGCUCCUAGCAACCCCGUGUAUAGCAA
rnacentral:lncRNA from 1 species